rnacentral:rRNA from 1 species
GACGUAGGGCGCGAGCGUUGUCCGGAUUUAUUGGGCGUAAAGAGCUCGUAGGCGGCUCGUUGCGUCGGCUGUGAAAACCCGCAGCUCAACUGUGGGCUUGCAGCUGAUACGGGCGGGCUGGGAUUCGGUAGGGGAGACUGGAAUUCCUGGUGUAGCGGUGAAAUGCGCAGAUAUCAGGAGGAACACCGGUGGCGAAGGCGGGUCUCUGGGACGGUACUGACGCUGAGACGCGAAAGCGUGGGGAGCGAACAGG